rnacentral:miRNA from 1 species
CAUGCCAUUAAUUUCUAAGCA